CCUGUAGUCCCAGCUCUCGGGAGGCUGAGGUGGGAGGAUCGCUUGAGCCCAGGAGUUCUGGGCUGUAGUGCGCUAUGCCGAUCGGGUGUCCGCACUAAGUUCGGCAUCAAUAUGGUGACCUCCCGGGAGCGGGGGACCACCAGGUUGCCUAAGGAGGGGUGAACCGGCCCAGGUCGGAAACGGAGCAGGUCAAAACUCCCGUGCUGAUCAGUAGUGGGAUUGCGCCUGUGAAUAGCCACUGCACUCCAGCCUGGGCAACAUAGUGAGACCCUG
rnacentral:SRP_RNA from 1 species